ensembl:lncRNA
CCCGGGACACAGUCACACACACACACACAGUCGUGUCUUGCAGCAAUCAGAGCUCCCGGCCGAAUAUUUUUUGUUUUCCUUUCGGCCAUGCAAAAUAAACGACACGAAAACAAACACACACGCGCGCGCGUUCGCAUGCACAGUUGACAACUACUCUCACAGGCUCGUGAUUUGACGGUUUGGCAAAACCGAUCAGGCAAGCACUGUAGCGUCUCAUCUAUCAAAGACCAAGGUCACGAAAUCAAACCUCCCUCUCUGAGCUGUUUACAUACGUAGCGGAUCCGCUCGUCACAGGCGACACCUCGGCUCCGCCUCGUGCGAUUCAUAAACCGUCAAUCAGUCCACAGCGACUGUGGUAGUUACAGCCUCCAUGUAGGUCAGGAACGCAAAGCGCGAAUCGGUGAUGUUUACCGUCUAACGGCCUCCGUCAAUCACUGCUUUUUAGCCCAACUUACCUUCCGAGAGCUCGAGCUCCAGCUCCGCGAGCCUAGCUCGCACCUCCAGAGGCAGCGGGAUCGUCUCGCGGUCGGCCAUUCUGCCUAAAAUAGGAUAAAUCCGCACAAGCCGACACUCUCGCUUCUCGGCACCUCUCCUCUCGCCGUCCUCCGAGUCUCCCCGGACCCCGCGUGAGUCAGACACGGAGAGUCUGCGCCAGGCGGAGAACAGCGUCUACAUAGAUCCGCGUGCACACAGGCGGCGGCUGCUGAAGGAGUUCGGGCUCGAGCAUCACCCAGUCCGUUUAACGCUGAUUUGUUUUCCUCUUCGUGAGACACCGUGUCGUUAACCUACUUGACGCUAACGAGUAAACUACGGUGGGCACGCACAAUCACUGACAGCCCUGAGCUCGCUCACUCGAUGUCUCCGUUGCUGCCUCUAGUUGGACCCACGUGACCAUUUCCGAGCCGACGGUCUGCGCGCUCUCCUCCCGUUCCCAAGGAGGGCGACAAAAUUCACGCGCUCGGCUGCCGGGGAAAACGUUCGCCAGAUGAGCUUCAGAGAAUAGAGGAGUGUGUGUGUUUGUGAAUAGAGAAGUGUGUGUGUGUGAAUGUGUGUGAAUAGAGAAGUGUGUGUGAGAUUAGAAGUAUGUGUGUGAAUAGAAAAGUGUGUGUGUGUGUGUGUGUGUGUGUGAUUAGAGAAUCUGACUGUCUGAUUUGAAUAUGUAAGUGACGCAUGCUCCCGGACGAAUGAAACUAACUUAUGCUCGCGUGAAAUCAGCUCUGCGAGAUAGAAAUAUGUAUUGGUGCAGAAGAAUAAACGGGAGGGAGGGACACACACACACACACACUUCUCUAUUCACACACACACACAUGUAUUGGUGCAGAAGAAUAAGCGGGAGGGACACAAAUGCGCUCCACUGGCUGUGGGGUCGAGGGUCGAGGGUCAAGGUUCACUGGCUUUGGCGUUAGGCUCGAGGGUCCACUGGCUUUGGGGUCGAGGGUCAACUGGCUUUGGGGUCGAGGGGCCGUUGGCCUUAUUAACCAGGCCCGGGAUCCCCACCUGACGUGGACACUUAACCCCACCCCCACACCUCAAGCCUGUGUUAUGUUAACACACACUACAUUGCACACUGCACAUUGCACAUCCACUUUUGCACUCCUGCCCUGCUUUUUGUAUU